CGUGAAGAAGCGGCUUCUGUGGGCUGGGGGCAUUUUGUGUCGGCUGUAGCCAAAGGAACAAGAUGGCGGCGUCGGCCGAGUGACCGUGGUCCUAGCGGGCGGGACCCGGCGGCGGCGCUAGCAGCAGGUGGGCUACGCCCACUUACUGCGCCUUUUUUGGUUCGGGAGGUUGCCCUGCACCCGUAGGGACCUUCUAACGGGGGUGGGAGACACCCGGGAAAAACUGCCCGGCCUGGAACCACUACCCUCCCUGGAGCCUGAGGAGGGUGAAGCCGGAACUCGGCGCGUCGGCGACGGCAGCUACAAGGCUCCCUCGGGACGCCUUAGCGUCGUCUUAACUUGGAGAAAGAGCCUCUUUUUGAAAUUUGUUUUUUUUGGGGAAAGUGCCACCAUCUCCGGUGUCUAAAAGGUCGCGCCUGGUGGGUGAGACCCGCCUGGUCCCGUCCCUUUCCCCCUUGGCCCCGGGACACCUAGGUCCCCGUAUCCCCCCUCCUCUUGCCAGGAUGGCGAGCAGCAGCGGCUCCAAGGCCGAAUUCAUUGUCGGAGGGAAAUAUAAACUGGUGCGGAAGAUCGGGUCCGGUUCCUUUGGGGACAUCUAUCUGGCCAUAAACAUCACCAACGGAGAGGAAGUGGCAGUGAAGCUAGAAUCUCAGAAGGCCAGGCAUCCCCAGUUGCUGUACGAGAGCAAACUCUAUAAGAUUCUUCAAGGUGGGGUUGGCAUUCCCCACAUACGGUGGUAUGGUCAAGAAAAAGACUAUAAUGUUCUAGUCAUGGAUCUUCUUGGACCGAGUCUUGAAGACCUCUUCAAUUUCUGUUCCCGCAGGUUCACAAUGAAAACAGUACUUAUGCUAGCUGACCAGAUGAUCAGUAGAAUUGAAUUUGUGCAUACAAAGAAUUUUAUACACAGAGACAUUAAACCAGAUAAUUUCCUAAUGGGUAUUGGGCGUCACUGUAAUAAGUGUUUAGAAUCUCCAGUGGGGAAGAGGAAAAGAAGCAUGACUGUUAGUACUUCUCAGGACCCAUCUUUCUCAGGAUUAAACCAGUUAUUCCUUAUUGACUUUGGUUUGGCCAAAAAGUACAGAGACAACAGAACAAGACAACAUAUACCAUACAGAGAAGAUAAAAAUCUCACUGGCACUGCCCGGUAUGCUAGCAUCAAUGCACACCUUGGCAUCGAGCAGAGUCGUCGUGAUGAUAUGGAGUCUCUAGGAUAUGUGUUGAUGUAUUUUAAUAGGACCAGCCUGCCCUGGCAAGGAUUAAAGGCUGCAACAAAAAAACAAAAGUAUGAAAAGAUUAGUGAAAAGAAGAUGUCUACUCCUGUUGAAGUUUUAUGUAAGGGGUUUCCAGCAGAAUUUGCCAUGUAUCUAAACUAUUGUCGUGGACUGCGUUUUGAAGAAGCACCAGAUUAUAUGUAUCUGAGGCAACUAUUUCGUAUUCUUUUCAGGACUCUGAACCACCAGUAUGACUACACAUUUGAUUGGACAAUGUUAAAGCAGAAAGCAGCCCAGCAGGCAGCCUCUUCCAGUGGGCAGGGUCAGCAGGCCCAAACCCCCACAGGCAAGCAAACUGACAAAACCAAGAGUAACAUGAAAGGAACAUGUCUGGUUACUCAGCAACAUAAUGCAAAUCACAGGCGAAGAUCUUGAAUGAAGAUCUGGAAGUGCUAAUCUACUCAGGAAAAAAAAAUCUCUUGAAUCUAAUGAGGUGUGCCAGAAGAACUGUGACUACCUACUGGAAUCUAGAAAAAUUGAACAAUAAAGUUGGAUUGCAAAGAAUUAAAAAUAAACCAGCAAGAAAGAAGAUAAAUGUCAAAGAAUCUAUUGUGAUUUGAACUCAUCUUUUCCAAAAACUCACCGAAUCGUUCAUACUCUUGGCAUUGCUAUAUUUCUGAGUAGCUCUAUAGCAAGUGAGAAGGCCUUGUGAAUACCUAACUGGAGUACGAUGUUGGGGUAACAGUGACGAUGUGGAGUAACUUCCAGUUGGGAGAGGAAUCAGUCCAACGAUUUAUCAGACAGAGAGUCUUCCUAUUGGGAGAGGAGUCAGUACAACAGAUUUGGGAAAAACUUCAAAAUAGAGAAAUAGCCAGAUGCAUACCACUGACGUCUGGAUUAUCUAUCACCUUAACUUCAAGCUCUGAUUUUACUGUUUCCAGGAGGGAAAGGAUUUAGCUCCUAGUUUAGCUGAAGUUUCUGUGAAGAUGGCAUCUUUAAACAACCUUUAUUUUUUGGAAGCCAGGAGGAUCCUGGCUUCAUCUGGACUGAAAGAUAAAAGCCAAGGAAUAAAGGAUUAUGCUAACUGGGAAAAGAAUUCAAGAGAGUAUUUAAUGCUUGGAAGAUGAGAUGCAAAGCCCAAAUGUUAUAUAUAUGGUGGAUAUGCGUAUUGGUUCUCCUUUCCUCCCCUAUCCUUCUCAUCUCCCUUCCCAUCCAAAUAAAUGUUUAUUGAGCUCCACUGAAAUCCUAGGAUAAUUUACUAGAGAAAUAAUCAUCCUUGGGUGGAGUAUCUUACUGUUGACCCUUUUGAAGAGUUGAAUCUGGAAUUAACUUGCCACUCCUUCUAACAACAUUGACCCAGUGGCCCCUUCUUAAAUAUUUAUCUCUCAAGAAAGUGGUUUAAUUUGCACAGACUAAUUUUCAAAAUAGAUCAGAUUAAAUGAACAGAAUUCUUGUAUAAUUAUAGCUUGCCAUGCUUUUAAGGGAAGCAAGAUUGGCCUACCUCUUUAUCCUCCCCCUCUUUAAAAAAAUGGAGCAACAUUUAACCCUUAAAACACUGCAAAGUUAUUUUGUCAACAAAAGAAAGUAUAACCCCCUUUCUAGUUUAAUGUUAGAGUCUUGUUUAAAUAUAUAGAUUUCUUCACAUUUUCACAAGGCUUCUUUUUAAAAAUUUAUUGGUUAUAACAAAAUUUUCAAGAAUGACUGCAGGCUUUAUGAUUCAAAAAGAAAAUCCAUGCCAUUUCCAGUUAAUUAACUUGUAGUUUGGGGGCUGGCCAUGAAAGAAUUGGGUUCACCUUGAAUUGUACAGUUUCUAAUUCUUUGAAAUUAGGUCAUUAAGCAUGGCCAUUUUAAAUGUAUUAUUGGUUUGGGAAUUAAUCUACAGGCUUUAUUUUUUAAUAAUUCAUGUCUGGGUUAUCCCAAGUAAAUUCUUAAUUUAAAGAACAACAAAUUUUUGUAUGUACCAAUCAUACUGGUAAAGUACAUACAUUUCAAGUAGUAUAAGACACUAUUUCUUCCCUCAAUAAUCUUAAUAUAAAACACAUAAAAUUUUGGAUGGAUAAAUAGUUCCAGAGAUAGGUAGCAGUUAGAUACAUAACUGAUUAAGAGAUGUCACAUAGAAGCACAUGGUUGCUAAGCAAGUGAAUAGUAAGACAGAAAUUAGUAAGAGUGUAGAGGAAGGGUGAAUUUGAGGAAGAUUUCCUGGAAGAGGAGGUAGGGCCUAUGUAAAAAAUUUAUAAAUAAGCAGAAUGUUUACUUAAGUGUGAAGAAAGGGUUAAGGGCAGGAGUUGAUGAUGUUUUUCAAGUUAAGUGGAGGUAAGAGAUUAUUCUAUGGAGUUGUACAAAUUUAACAGUAAUAGGCAUUUGGGGUUUCCUUCCUUUCCCUUUCUUAGAAGUUCUAGUUUUAUUGUAUUGUGGAGAAAGUGUAAACUUUGUCUCUAUCCUCAUGCAAUGUUUUCAAAUGCUGGUGUCUGGAAAGAGUGCCAGAUCUUCUUUUUCCAUCAUUUCUUCUUAAUGCCAGCUUUUUUCUUUUAUGUGGAGCAAAUAACCACUAAGGUGAUAUUUGAUUGAUGUUUCACAGUGCUUCUUGCCUCACAGUUUCUUCUAGUAUAAAUAAAAAUAAUUGUAUGUUAUGAAAGUUUUUAGUAUUUCUAAACAUGAUUUUGGAAAAUGUGGGGUCUUUAUUUUUGCUAAAAUAGAUUUUUGAGUAUCACUGACAGUUGAUACAGCUUCUUUUAGUGGUCAUUUUUAAAGGCAAGUGAGACCUUUAAACAAAAAUGUUGGAAUUUAUUGCUUCUAAAAUAGAAUCUAAUUUGACUUCCAUAAAGUGUAUCAAGUAUAAAGAAAAAAAUUUUUUAUAAAGUGAAAAUCUAAGAACUUAAGAGGUAAUUCAAGUGUCAGUUGUUGAUCAAAAAAUAGCUGCACCUUUAGGCCAAGUGACAGGUUAGCUCGUUUACCUGGUUUGUUUGGCUUCUAGUGCUAGAAUAAAUUUUGUUUAGAGACAUAAAAGACGUAAAAAUCUGGUUCUUUGGUCAUUGUAAGAUUGGAGAAAUUCUUUAGGUAAUUAGUUAAAUUUAAGCAACGUGUUCAUAAUAGGUUUUGAAACUAACUAAUUGGAAGACCUAUGUUGUCCAACAAUCUUCAAGGAUGCAACCCAAACUUUCUUGACCAGAUCCCUUGGACCAAAUUCAAUGAGGGGAAAAAAAACAGAAAUUACAAGUAAUGAGUUUUUUUAUUUAUUAAAACUGAUUUAUUCCAGUUUGAUGAAAAGUAGCUAAUCUACAGUUCUUAGAGCAAUGUAUAAUUUAGGCUAAACCCUAAUCAAAAAAUCCCUUUGGUUUGAGGAUUGGCCACUACUAAACAAUUGUGUGUUGACCUCUGAGUAACUUUAAAGUAAAUUUGAAAAGCUAUAUAAAGCCACAAAAUUUAAUAUGCAAUAGAUAAAACAUCCCUCCAAUUAGAGCAGGGUAUUCUUAACUUUUAGAAUACAAGAGGGUCUCUCUAAUACUUAUUCGUGUGGCUCAUUUCCCCUGUUCUCAAUAUAUUUUCUUUUUUUUUCCAGUUUGAAUUAACUCUUGUUUUUCUUUUCUCUGUCUCUUUUGGGCAGGUUUCUAAACAUGAAGAGGAACAGAUGAAGCAGAGCAGAUGAUCAGAGCAGGACUUGUUACUCCCCAAAUCUAGAAAUUUUAGUUCAUAUGUACACGUACCAGUGGUUGUGGGCAACCAUUUAUUUGGUGUAAAGAACUUAAUUUCAGUAUAAACUGGCUCUGGUCAGCGUUGGUGAUGCUGCAUCCUGAGUUGUAGCCGCUGUAAUUGUGAAUAUUAACUGAGAUAGUGAAACAUGGUGUCCAGUUUUCUAUUGCAUUUUUUCAAGUGGAAAAGUUAACUAAAUGGUUGACACACAAGUGGUGGAGAAAUUGUGCAUAUGCCAAUUUUUUGUUACCUUUUUUUUUUUUUUUUGAACUACACUGCUUUGAGAUCUCGUUUCAGAAGAACGGCAUGAACAGUUUUCAACCACAGUUGUGAUAAUUGUAAAUGUUCACAAUUGUGUUUUUCCCCCCUUCCUAGGGUUUGAAAGUUGUAAACUUACACAUUCUUAAAAUUGUUGGCUUCUGUGUGCAAGUCAGCUGACAUGGUAGCAACCAAAGAUUCCAGUUUUUAAGCAUAUGAAAGACUCUGCCUGCUUACUGUGCUAGAAUUAAACAGCAUCUAAAAGUGAAGACAUAAGAAAAACUUAGUGACUACUAGAUUAUCUUUAGGACUCUGCAUUAACUCUAUAAUGUUCUUGGUAUAAAAAGAAAAACAUAUUCGUCACAGAAAUUUAGUUAACAUCUUACAACUAAACUUGUAUGUAAGUUGCUUAGAUCAAUGUAAUCACUGUAAACAUCUAUAUGACCUGGGAUUUUGUUUUUAUUUCGAAAUGGGAGCUUUUUUUGUUUACAAGUUCAUUAAAAACUAAAAAAAAAAUGUUUCUGUAAAAAAAUUUUUUUUAAAGAAAUGCCUGGCUAAUUCAUUGAUAGAAUCAACAUCUCCCCAAUUUUUUUUUAACAGACUACUUGAUGGCCAUUGUUAAGUCAUAUUCCUUUGCAAAUCAUUUUAGAUUUAGUGUUGUAUUUCUUCUUCUUUUUUUUUUUUUUAAAUAAAUUUUGUAUUUUUUUUUUCCUCAAGGGAGAAGGCAUUCUUAAUUUUUUUUUUUUAAGUUCUUGCAUCAAUGCCUAGUAGCGCAACUGCAGGACUGGUGUUGGUAGCUCUAGUGUUGCCAUUGACUAAACAGCUGGACUGAUUUGUGUUGUUCCUUUUGAAAAUAAGAAUGGAAGUGUUAAAGGGUUUUGCAAACAAAGGAGAUUUUCUUUCAAAUUCUUGUGAAGUGGCUAUGACCAGAUUGUUUCUUGUUCUUAGAUUGCCUCACACUGUGGUAUUCUGAUGAUUACUAUCCCUAGCCCUCCAAGGCAACCUGUGUGAGUGCAUUUUCCAGCUUAUUUGCGUGUUUUCUUUUUCACUUUAUCUGACCCAGCGGAAAGAAAAAAAAAAAAAAAACUGAUUGCUGGUAAUCCUUUAAACAGUGUAAUUUAUUCAUUUAUAUAGCAUGUCAGAAUAAAUUAAAAAAAAAUUGUCUGAAAAUGCUACCAGA